UGGGGAAUUUUCCGCAAUGGGCGCAAGCCUGACGGAGCAACGCCGCGUGUGGGAAGAAGGCUCUUGGGCUGUCAACCACUUUUCUCAGGGAAGAAGCCCUGACGGUACCUGAGGAAUCAGCCUCGGCUAACUCCGUGCCAGCAGCCGCGGUAAUACGGAGGAGGCAAGCGUUAUCCGGAAUUAUUGGGCGUAAAGCGUCCGCAGGGGGCACAUCAAGUCUGCUGUUAAAGGCUGGAGCUUAACUCCGGUAGAGCAGUGGAAACUGGUGUGCUAGAGGGCGACAGGGGUAGAGGGAAUUCCCAGUGUAGCGGUGAAAUGCGUAGAGAUUGGGAAGAACACCGGUGGCGAAAGCGCUCUACUGGGUCGCGCCUGACCCUCAGGGACGAAAGCUAAGGUAGCGAAAGGGAUUAGAUACCCCCGUAGUCC
rnacentral:rRNA from 1 species